rnacentral:rRNA from 1 species
AAGCGGAGGAAAAGAAACUAACAAGGAUUCCCCUAGUAACUGCGAGUGAACCGGGAAAAGCUCAAAUUUUGAAUCUGGCGGUCCUUGCGGCCGUCCGAGUUGUAAUCUAGAGAAGCGUCUUCCGCGCUGGACCGUGUAUAAGUUUCCUGGAAUGGAACGUCGUAGAGGGUGAGAAUCCCGUCUUUGACACGGACUGCCAGGGCUUUGUGAUGCGCUCUCGACGAGUCGAGUUGUUUGGGAAUGCAGCUCAAAUAGGGUGGUAAAUUCCAUCUAAAGCUAAAUACAGGCGAGAGACCGAUAGCGAACAAGUACCGUGAGGGAAAGAUGAAAAGAACUUUGGAAAGAGAGUUAAACAGUACGUGAAAUUGCUGAAAGGGAAACGCUUGAUGUCAGUCGCGUUUGCUGGGGAUCAGCCUAGCUUUUUGCUUGGUGUACUUCCUGGCGAACGGGUCAGCAUCGGUUUCGAACGUCGGAAAAUGACUCGAGGAAUGUGGCACCUCUCGGGGUGUGUUAUAGACUCUUGUCGAAUACGAUGAUUGGGACCGAGGAACUCAGCACGACCUUCGGGUUCGGAGCUUAGGCUCACGUUGACGUGCUUAGGAUGCUGGCAUAAUGGCCUUAAGCGACCCGUCUUG